AGGAAUCGGAGUAAUUAAAAAAGUAACAGACGAAAAGCGAAAUAAAGUAACAAAACGUUAUGUCGAAUUUCAAUAUAAAUUUAUCUGUGUAACUGCCGGCGGAAGGUGUUUUCCUAUAGCUUUUACACCCCUGCUGCGGACCUUCAAACGAAGCCAUGUGGACGGUAUUUUGUAUACGCACGGCGUUAGUACGAAGUAUUUAGUUUUUGGGGGAAACAACUUUCAACUCUUUAUCG